rnacentral:tRNA from 1 species
GGAGAGAUGGCAGAGUGGUUGAACGCGGCGGUCUUGAAAACCGUUAUACCGUGAAAGCGGUAUCGGGGGUUCGAAUCCCUCUCUCUCCA